rnacentral:rRNA from 1 species
UACGAGGGGUGCAAGCGUUGCUCGGAAUUAUUGGGCGUAAAGGGCAGGUAGGUGGUCCCGUUUGUCAGAGGUGAAAUCCUCGAGCUUAACUCGAGAAGUGCCUCUGAAACGGCGGGACUAGAGUUCUAGAGAGGGUCGUGGAAUUCCCGGUGUAGCGGUGAAAUGCGUAGAGAUCGGGAGGAACACCAGAGGCGAAGGCGGCGACCUGGAUAGAUACUGACACUCAACUGCGAAAGCGUGGGGAGCAAACAGG